rnacentral:rRNA from 1 species
GGUUGUCGUCAGCUCGUGCCGUGAGGUUGUCCGGGUUAAGUCCCCAUAACGAGCGCAACCCUUAUCGUUAGUUGCCAGCGGGUAAUGCCGGGGACUCUAGCGAAACUGCCGGUGUAAACCGAGAGGAAGUGGGAUGACGUCAAAUCAGCAGGCCCUUAUGUCCAGGGCUACACACGUGUUACAAUGGCCGGUACAGAGGGCAGCUACCUGGAGACAGGAUGCGAAUCUCGAAAGCCGGUCUCAGUUCGGAUCGGAGUCUGCAACUCGACUCCGUGAAGCUGGAUUCGCUAGUAAUCGCGCAUCAGCCAUGGCCGCGGUCGAAUACGUUCCCGGGCCUU